ACACCUCAACUCUCAUGGUUUACCAUGAUGAGCUUGGACUUUGGAGGUCUUGCUGGCUGGUGGCCAGCUCCUCUCAAAUGAAUCAGCUUGCCAGUGUUUGGUGGCAUCAUGGGUGUGAUAACUAUCUACGCUCGCUGUUGUCUGCCAGGUAACCUUUGGUGACGAAGGUUCGCUGGAGCUCACAGAUGUCUCUCCUCAGCGAGGACAGCUUUUUGAAC
rnacentral:misc_RNA from 1 species